UGUCGUCAGCUCGUGUUGUGAAAUGUUGGGUUAAGUCCCGCAACGAGCGCAACCCUUAUCCUUUGUUGCCAGCGGUCCGGCCGGGAACUCAAAGGAGACUGCCAGUGAUAAACUGGAGGAAGGUGGGGAUGACGUCAAGUCAUCAUGGCCCUUACGACCAGGGCUACACACGUGCUACAAUGGCGCAUACAAAGAGAAGCGACCUCGCGAGAGCAAGCGGACCUCAUAAAGUGCGUCGUAGUCCGGAUUGGAGUCUGCAACUCGACUCCAUGAAGUCGGAAUCGCUAGUAAUCGUGGAUCAGAAUGC
rnacentral:rRNA from 1 species